GAUGAAGAACGUAGCGAAAUGCGAUACGUAGUGUGAAUUGCAGAAUUCAGUGAAUCAUCGAAUCUUUGAACGCACAUUGCGCCCGCCAGUAUUCUGGCGGGCAUGCCUGUUCGAGCGUCAUUUCAACCAUCAAGCCCCCGGCUUGUGUUGGGGACCUGCGGCUGCCGCAGGCCCUGAAAACCAGUGGCGGGCUCGCUAGUCACUCCGAGCGUAGUAAUACAUCUCGCUCAGGGCGUGCUGCGGGUUCCGGCCGUUAAAAAAGCCUUAUUUACCCAAGGUUGACCUCGUAUCAGGUAGGAAGACCCGCUGAACUUAAGCAUAUCAAUAAGCGGAGGA
rnacentral:misc_RNA from 1 species